GAUUAAGUUAUUAAGGGCGCACGGUGGAUGCCUUGGCACUAGAAGCCGAUGAAGGACGUUACUAACGACGAUAUGCUUUGGGGAGCUGUAAGUAAGCUUUGAUCCAGAGAUUUCCGAAUGGGGAAACCCAGCAUGAGUUAUGUCAUGUUAUCGAUAUGUGAAUACAUAGCAUAUCAGAAGGCACACCCGGAGAACUGAAACAUCUUAGUACCCGGAGGAAGAGAAAGAAAAUUCGAUUCCCUUAGUAGCGGCGAGCGAAACGGGAAGAGCCCAAACCAACAAGCUUGCUUGUUGGGGUUGUAGGACACUCUAUACGGAGUUACAAAGGACGACAUUAGACGAAUCAUCUGGAAAGAUGAAUCAAAGAAGGUAAUAAUCCUGUAGUCGAAAAUGUUGUCUCUCUUGAGUGGAUCCUGAGUACGACGGAGCACGUGAAAUUCCGUCGGAAUCUGGGAGGACCAUCUCCUAAGGCUAAAUACUCUCUAGUGACCGAUAGUGAACCAGUACCGUGAGGGAAAGGUGAAAAGCACCCCGGAAGGGGAGUGAAAUAGAACCUGAAACCGUGUGCUUACAAGUAGUCAGAGCCCGUUAAUGGGUGAUGGCGUGCCUUUUGUAGAAUGAACCGGCGAGUUACGAUUUGAUGCAAGGUUAAGCAGUAAAUGUGGAGCCGUAGCGAAAGCGAGUCUGAAUAGGGCGUUUAGUAUUUGGUCGUAGACCCGAAACCAGGUGAUCUACCCUUGGUCAGGUUGAAGUUCAGGUAACACUGAAUGGAGGACCGAACCGACUUACGUUGAAAAGUGAGCGGAUGAACUGAGGGUAGCGGAGAAAUUCCAAUCGAACCUGGAGAUAGCUGGUUCUCUCCGAAAUAGCUUUAGGGCUAGCCUCAAGUGAUGAUUAUUGGAGGUAGAGCACUGUUUGGACGAGGGGCCCCUCUCGGGUUACCGAAUUCAGACAAACUCCGAAUGCCAAUUAAUUUAACUUGGGAGUCAGAACAUGGGUGAUAAGGUCCGUGUUCGAAAGGGAAACAGCCCAGACCACCAGCUAAGGUCCCAAAAUAUAUGUUAAGUGGAAAAGGAUGUGGCGUUGCCCAGACAACUAGGAUGUUGGCUUAGAAGCAGCCAUCAUUUAAAGAGUGCGUAAUAGCUCACUAGUCGAGUGACACUGCGCCGAAAAUGUACCGGGGCUAAACAUAUUACCGAAGCUGUGGAUUGUCCUUUGGACAAUGGUAGGAGAGCGUUCUAAGGGCGUUGAAGCAUGAUCGUAAGGACAUGUGGAGCGCUUAGAAGUGAGAAUGCCGGUGUGAGUAGCGAAAGACGGGUGAGAAUCCCGUCCACCGAUUGACUAAGGUUUCCAGAGGAAGGCUCGUCCGCUCUGGGUUAGUCGGGUCCUAAGCUGAGGCCGACAGGCGUAGGCGAUGGAUAACAGGUUGAUAUUCCUGUACCACCUAUAAUCGUUUUAAUCGAUGGGGGGACGCAGUAGGAUAGGCGAAGCGUGCGAUUGGAUUGCACGUCUAAGCAGUAAGGCUGAGUAUUAGGCAAAUCCGGUACUCGUUAAGGCUGAGCUGUGAUGGGGAGAAGACAUUGUGUCUUCGAGUCGUUGAUUUCACACUGCCGAGAAAAGCCUCUAGAUAGAAAAUAGGUGCCCGUACCGCAAACCGACACAGGUAGUCAAGAUGAGAAUUCUAAGGUGAGCGAGCGAACUCUCGUUAAGGAACUCGGCAAAAUGACCCCGUAACUUCGGGAGAAGGGGUGCUCUUUAGGGUUAACGCCCAGAAGAGCCGCAGUGAAUAGGCCCAAGCGACUGUUUAUCAAAAACACAGGUCUCUGCUAAACCGUAAGGUGAUGUAUAGGGGCUGACGCCUGCCCGGUGCUGGAAGGUUAAGAGGAGUGGUUAGCUUCUGCGAAGCUACGAAUCGAAGCCCCAGUAAACGGCGGCCGUAACUAUAACGGUCCUAAGGUAGCGAAAUUCCUUGUCGGGUAAGUUCCGACCCGCACGAAAGGCGUAACGAUUUGGGCACUGUCUCAACGAGAGACUCGGUGAAAUCAUAGUACCUGUGAAGAUGCAGGUUACCCGCGACAGGACGGAAAGACCCCGUGGAGCUUUACUGUAGCCUGAUAUUGAAAUUCGGCACAGCUUGUACAGGAUAGGUAGGAGCCUUUGAAACGUGAGCGCUAGCUUACGUGGAGGCGCUGGUGGGAUACUACCCUAGCUGUGUUGGCUUUCUAACCCGCACCACUUAUCGUGGUGGGAGACAGUGUCAGGCGGGCAGUUUGACUGGGGCGGUCGCCUCCUAAAAGGUAACGGAGGCGCUCAAAGGUUCCCUCAGAAUGGUUGGAAAUCAUUCAUAGAGUGUAAAGGCAUAAGGGAGCUUGACUGCGAGACCUACAAGUCGAGCAGGGUCGAAAGACGGACUUAGUGAUCCGGUGGUUCCGCAUGGAAGGGCCAUCGCUCAACGGAUAAAAGCUACCCCGGGGAUAACAGGCUUAUCUCCCCCAAGAGUUCACAUCGACGGGGAGGUUUGGCACCUCGAUGUCGGCUCAUCGCAUCCUGGGGCUGUAGUAGGUCCCAAGGGUUGGGCUGUUCGCCCAUUAAAGCGGUACGCGAGCUGGGUUCAGAACGUCGUGAGACAGUUCGGUCCCUAUCCGUCGUGGGCGUAGGAAAUUUGAGAGGAGCUGUCCUUAGUACGAGAGGACCGGGAUGGACAUACCUCUGGUGUACCAGUUGUCGUGCCAACGGCAUAGCUGGGUAGCUAUGUGUGGACGGGAUAAGUGCUGAAAGCAUCUAAGCACGAAGCCCCCCUCAAGAUGAGAUUUCCCAACUUCGGUUAUAAGAUCCCUCAAAGAUGAUGAGGUUAAUAGGUUCGAGGUGGAAGCAUGGUGACAUGUGGAGCUGACGAAUACUAAUCGAUCGAAGACUUAAUCAA
rnacentral:rRNA from 1 species